rnacentral:rRNA from 1 species
CCUACGGGGGGCAGCAGUGAGGAAUAUUGGUCAAUGGCCGGAAGGCUGAACCAGCCAUGCCGCGUGAAGGUCAGUGCCCUAUGGGCGUUAAACUUCUUUUGUGCGGGAGCAAUAAUGGUCACGUGUGGCCAGACGAGUGUACCGUACGAAUAAGCAUCGGCUAACUCCGUGCCAGCAGCCGCGGUAAUACGGGGGAUGCAAGCGUUAUCCGGAUUUAUUGGGUUUAAAGGGUGCGUAGGCUGUGAGGUAAGUCAGCGGUGAAAUGCCCCCGCUCAACGGGGUGAAGUGCCAUUGAUACUGCCUGGCUGGAGUGCGGAUGACGUGGGAGGAAUGUGUGGUGUAGCGGUGAAAUGCAUAGAUAUCAGACAGAACACCGAUUGCGAAGGCAGCUCACGAAUCCGCGAUUGACGCUGAGGCACGAAAGCGUGGGUAUCAAACAGGAUUAGAUACCCGAGUAGUC